GUGAAGAGAGCAAGGGAUAUGCGCUUUUUAAUUUAAAAUUUCAAUAGCCCGUUCUACCAACAGCCCACAAAAACUUCAAAACCUAGAUUGGUCGUUGACACCUCCAUCACCUUCAUCGUCCCAUCUGGAAAUUCAUCAGUCUCUGCAACUCGACGUUACCGUGUAAUAAUGUCGAUCCUUUACUAAAUCAUUCAAUUCGGUUCUUAACUCCUUUACUAAUGAGAUAUGGUAUCGUUCUACGUCCCUUUGUUUCUCCACCUAUAUAAAUCCCUUCAUAAACCUUCACUCCAGCCAUAAUUGAAAACCUCAGUCAAAGAAUAUAAAGCUAUGACCAUAAAAUCUGCUCAGCCCUUGGCAAGUCUCCUGUCGAACGGUGUAAUCUGAAGGUUAGAGAUUUCUCACUUUAAUGGCUUACGCUUUGGUUCUUCUUGGACGGCUGCUCAGAUUCUGGGAGGCCAUGUGACGAUUUGAUCGGUCUCGACAUGAUCUUCGUCGAUUCUCAGCCACUAUUUAAAGUCGGUGAAGUUCAUAGCAAGCACUCAAUAGGCAGAUGGUUCAUGGGACAUACGGUCCCUUAAAACGUACGGAGUUUGUGGAGUUUGCUACACAUAUGCAUCAUGGUUUGCUCUUAGAAGCUUGGAAGUAACCGGCAACACGUAUGAAAACUGUUCCACUAUGCAAGCCAUAUGUCCUGCCCUGAAAAGAGAUACAUAGAAUUAGGAGGAAUCAAACCUGGUGCAAACCGGUUAGGAAUUGAUAGGUCUGAUUCAACCAGGACAGAUCUGCCAAACAAAUGUUACAUAUUCCAUUUCUCAACAUUUCUGUUAAAAAGGUAUGUUGUGUUUAACUGAUAUAUUUGUUAACAGGUCGAGAGAGAUCCACUGCCUCUUCACAGUGUUGUGAAACUGAUCAUCAGUUCCAGUUAGAAAACGGAGACUACCCUCAACAGCUGCAAAUGAAGCAGAAGCAGCUCGAGCUUAUGCCAAAGAAGCUUCAAAGACACUGAAAGGAAAAUACAUCUGCAAAGUGGUCGUAUUGAAAAUUUGAUUAAACAGAUGGUAUGUACGUGAUGACAGAAAAGAAAGAGAAGAGAAGAAGCUAAAUGUGUUGCAGGUGGAGAGAGAGAGAGAGAGAAGCGGCGAAGUAGUGUUUGUGUGUUGAUGAUUUUCUACCUUGGAAACACUUUUUAGUCGUAAACACUAAUUUUAGAUGCUAAAGCUAUUGUAUUAUUGCUCAUACUUCACUUUACAGCCAAACUAAGUUUUAAAACUGAAAAUAUAAAACGCUACAAUUUUCUU